GGCUGCGUAGUUCAAGGGAUAGAAUAGGCGUUUCCUAAACGCUUGAUAGCAGUUCGAAUCUGCUCGUGGCUA
rfam:Hymenobacter sp. CCM 8648 NODE_18_length_85434_cov_417.907_ID_35, whole genome shotgun sequence.